rnacentral:rRNA from 1 species
GAUGAACGCUGGCGGCGUGCCUAAUACAUGCAAGUCGAGCGAACAGACGAGGAGCUUGCUCCUCUGACGUUAGCGGCGGACGGGUGAGUAACACGUGGAUAACCUACCUAUAAGACUGGGAUAACUUCGGGAAACCGGAGCUAAUACCGGAUAAUAUAUUGAACCGCAUGGUUCAAUAGUGAAAGACGGUUUUGCUGUCACUUAUAGAUGGAUCCGCGCCGCAUUAGCUAGUUGGUAAGGUAACGGCUUACCAAGGCAACGAUGCGUAGCCGACCUGAGAGGGUGAUCAGCCACACUUGAACUGAGACACGAUCCAGACUCCUACGGGAGGCAGCAGUAGGGAAUCUUCCGCAAUGGGCGAAAGCCUGACGGAGCAACGCCGCGUGAGUGAUGAAGGUCUUCGGAUCGUAAAACUCUGUUAUUAGGGAAGAACAAAUGUGUAAGUAACUAUGCACGUCUUGACGGUACCUAAUCAGAAAGCCACGGCUAACUACGU